rnacentral:rRNA from 1 species
GUGGGGAAUAUUCCGCAAUGGACGAAAGUCUGACGGAGCAACGCCGCGUGAGUGAUGAAGGUUUUCGGACUGUAAAGCUCUGUUGUUUAGGACGAAAGUGCCUGUUGCGAACAGUUACAGGUAUUGACGGUACUAAACGAGGAAGCCACGGCUAACUACGUGCCAGCAGCCGCGGUAAUACGUAGGUGGCAAGCGUUGUCCGGAAUUAUUGGGCGUAAAGAGCAUGUAGGCGGAGAUUUAAGUCUGUUGUGAAAAUGCGGGGCUCAACCCCGUAUUGCGAUGGAAACUGAAUUUCUUGAGUGCAGGAGAGGAAAGGGGAAUUCCGAGUGUAGCGGUGAAAUGCGUAGAUAUUGGGAGGAACACCAGUGGCGAAGGCGCCUUUCUGGACUGUGUCUGACGCUGAGAUGCGAAAGCCAGGGUAGCGAACGGGAUUAGAUACCCCUGUAGUCC